GCUCCGCGAGGAAGAAAUCGGACGAUUGCUUUUCUUCUCCGCUUCUCCUUUCGUCUAUUCCAUGGCGCGAUUCCGACGAAGCCAUCAGUCCAUUUGGGAAAUCACAACAGCCCUAGGGUUAGGGUUAGGGUUAGGUUUUACGAGUUCUUCAUCAUGGCGCGACAGUGAUCUUUGCUAACAUUUGGAUUAUUGUUAACAUGAGAUCUCUAGCGUUGCAUGCCAUUUGAAACCGCUGCAAAAUUCGUUCGUAUUUGGUCUGGAGUGCUUUCGCUUAGUGCGAGGAACUGGAGAGAAAAUUAAAAAAUUGUGUUGCGAGAUAUUUAAGGCGACGGUUCUCCAACUGGCUCCAGAAUCGGGUCAAUAAGAACAAAAAACUGGAACGGAAUCAAGAGCUGGCUUAAUGGACGGCAAGGUCUGCACCGGCUUCAACACUAAAUUCGGCCGUGAUUCCGUCCAGCAAUUCUGCAACGAACACUCGUCUUCCACUCAGUAUGGUUGCUGCAAGCCGGCAGAUGAGGGCCAAUUCAUGAUAACAACCACGAAACUUGCUUCAAUUGCCAGUCGUGCAAAGGGGUAACGAGGAUUUCCAACUUCAGUGGAUCCUGGGGAUAUGAAGUUUUCUGGUUCAUAUACAUACGAGACAGAGGAGGGACUCAACAUUUUGCCAAUGCAGAAACAUUCUGGGUUAGAUGUAUUGUUUUUAUCAUUCCCGACUUAAAUAUGAGUAUUGAUAUACCAAGAAACCAGUUCCGUUCUGUUCCUUUGAAAUUGCUCAGACUUUUGAAGUUGUUUUCUGCUUGCUGAUUGUACUUGUACUUGUACCAUUUCACGAACAGUAAAAUUGAAAUGUUUCACAUUAAAUGUUCGUUGAUUUCUACUCGUUCAAUGUAUAGAAUUAGUAUGAAUCAUAAGUCUUUUGUCUGUCUUCUUUUUCUCAUCCAGAUUUUCAUGUUUAAUGCCUCAAUAAUUAUCUUAGGGUCAUUUAAUUGGAGUUUUUUGCUGGUAUGUCUUCUGAAGAUCUACUCCAUCUCCACGAACUAGUAUGAUUGGAUAAAAAGCAUUUGCUGCUACAUACCCACGUGAAUUUUCAAGCUGAGGCCAGUAGACUUGUGAAGGUCUCUGGGCACGGAACUUGUUCUUGUGGAAGAUUUAUUCCCAGCUCAUCUCUCUAGUGCGGAAAAGGAUCCCAGAUAUGUUUUGCUGCAAAAACAGAGUUAUUAUGACUAGCAUGUCUUCAUGAUGCUGUUGCAGUUACCAAAAAAUUUGAGCAAGUGCGGCCAUGGAAGCAUCAUAUUCAAAAAAGCUCCAUUUUGCCCAAGGAAUAUUUUCUGUAUGCCAGAAGCACUUGAGACAUGGCUGCAAUCUGUGAUGUGGAAGCUUCUUGAGCUGCCUUCAUAUGGUCACAACAGCCCACAGGGGCUGAGGUUGAAGCAUGGGGAAUAUCUAAUGGGUUGAUGAUUCUAUGGGAUGAAGAGAAGACCAAUGCAGUAGAAAAUUUGGAAGGAUGGUAUUCCUUGUUUGUGAAAUUUCAGCUAGCAGAUGGAAAGAAAUCGUGGUUAUCAAAUGCAUAUGGCCAAAACAACAUUUUUUGAGAGUGUUUUUGUUGAAUAAUGGUUAAAUUUGCCUGGAUAUUGUGGGGAAGUUUGGUGUGGUGAUUUUGACGUGAAAAGGUGUAGGGAGAAGUGAAGUGGUUGUGGUAGGACUCGUGCAUGGUUUAUGUGUCAUAUUUUUGUCAGCACGAAAAGAUUUUUGGGACAAACGAUUAGGGAUGCAGCAAAA